UUUUUAAUAUUUUAUGUACAUCAAUAAAAGUAAAAUAUAUUUUUGGGACCCAGAAAACUCCAGUUGGGGAACCCUGCACCAGAGGUAAGGGAUUGCCCAGUUCCCCCAGAACGUCACUCGCUCUGAAACCUUGAGGUAGUUGUUUCCCUUGCUCUUUGAGCGAUAGGUAACGAUGCUUCAUGGGUGACUGUUGUCAAUGUAUUCAGAGGGUCCCUGGUUUGAGCCCAGAUUGGGGCAAAGAGCGGGACGGAAGCAAUACUGUUACAUUGAAGCUGUUGUCCCGGAUCAUUCAGUUGGGCUCUGCCCAGCAGCUGGGGUUGCUACGGAGAAGGAAGAGGUCAAAGGGGGGGUGAGUGUAACCGGUGUGAAAUGGCUAGCUAAUUAGCGGUGCACACUAGUAGUGUUUCAAUCGGUGAUGUCACGCGCUCAGAGUAAUUGUUUCCCUUGCUCUAUACUGACUGCGGCUUUUAUGGAGCGAUAGGUAAUGAUGCUUUGUGGGAGGCAUGUUAUUGAUGUGUUCAGAGGGUCCUUGAUUCGAGCCCAGGUUUGGGCAAGGAGAGGGACGGAAGCAAGACUGUUACACACAACCAGAAGAGAGACUGUGAAAUGACAACACACUAGGACGCCAGGGGUACAGUGCUCUGAUAAUGAGAAAUUCCUCGGCACCUGGAAUUUUUCUUUUGCGAAUCUGGUCGUUGCCCCCAACCUCCUCCGUUAAACACACUUGACUUUCUAAAUGUAAUCCUUUACAGGUACUAAUGUAAUCCUUUACAGGUACUAAUGUAAUCCUUUACAGGUACUAACGUAAACUCACUCACUUUUGGACAUCGCCUUGGUUCGUACAAUUGACCUCAUUUUAGCACCCCAAAAACGUAAUACUUCCAGAUCAACUGUAAUGUCAUUACCAAUGUAAAGCACAAUUUCUCCCCUUUCCAACACAAUUAAUGACAUGACCUCUAAGAUGCCCGUUUCUGCAUUAUUCAAGAAGGCAAUGAGCUCCGUCGGGUCUUUUUUUUAAAUGGCGGGUGGGGAAGUGAAACUAAUGCGUGGUAGUGAGAAGGAGAGGAGAUGUGUGGGGAAAUUGCACUCGAUCUGUCCAACUUAUCACCUUACCGCCUCUAAAAUGUAAAUAAAACAUGAUAAAGAGUUUACAUAAUGUGUCAUUACAAACCUAUUUGAAGGUUUGUGUCGAAUUUGACUCAGGUUUUUAGGGCGGUGCUAAAGUGAUCUUCAGAAGUAAACAGCGGCUCUGAGAGUCAUGAUCGCUUACAGUGAUGACGCAAAAAAUGACUAGGUAUCCCCCCUUACCCCCGUCACUGUCCAUCUCUUGUUUUUAAACGAUGAGAGAAGUGCUACACCUGGUGGAGAGAGAUUGUAAGACAGAACUAGUUGCUAUUUGCGUGCUGUACGUUACGGCAUAACACGUCACGAUGUAACGAAGGGUCAGUUUCUUUCAACUUUUCUCCAAUACUAUAGAGCCAUUACCAUGUCGACCAACGCUUGAAUAGAAACGUAGUUCACACCCCAGAUUUUGAAGUCAACACAGUCGCUACAGUCCCAUUCGUUUUCUUUGCAGCCUCGUUUGAAUGUCUCGGUUGCGCACAUUUGUACGGAAUGGGGUGAGUUUACGUUAGUUACCUGUCCAAAAUGGCCAUCAGUGACUUCACUUACAUUUUACAUGUACGUUUUAGUCAUUUAGCAGAUGCACUUAUCCAGAGCGACUUAGUUGGUGCAUUCAUCUUAAAGGGAUACUUCAGGAUUUUGGCAAUGAAGCCUUUUAUCUACUUCCCCAGAGUCAGAUGAACUCAUGAAUACCAUUUGUGAAGUAGAUAAUUGGCUUCCUUGACAAACUUCCUUCCCGAUGUAUCCCUUUAGCCCUUUCCUGCAGUCAAAUGACCAAAUCACCCACUAGUGGCCUCAUGGGCGAAACGUUAUUUAUACUUGUCAUAUCUGUCCCUUUGUUAUAUUUCAGUCAUCUGUGAUAUAUAAAGUGUAAUAUCGGGAUGCAAACUCAAAAUUUAAUAUAUUUCAACUCUAUUUCUGACAUGGUACAGGUGUUCUAAGCCCAUAACCAUGUGAGUGAGUAGAUUCAAAGUAGAUUUGUUGAAGAGUACCAAGAACCACUCUGUGACACUGAUUUAGCCCACUGCAGUAAAUUAAGAUAGCUAGGUGAGACAAUGUCUUUGCUGGUAACGUAACUGAUUACAGUCCCAAAUUUUUUUAAUAAUCAGAUGACAUGUAACUCCCCAACCCUAAACGCACACACACACACGCACACACACUUCAAAACCUUUUAACCCCUUGAGCCCUGGCCUUUAACCUAUAAAAUGAAUCAGUAUCAGUAUGUGGCAGUACAAGGAUUCAUCCCACAGUGGUGGCUGACCGAGUAUCGCUAUACUGGGUCAUGCCCAUUAGGGACCAAACGGACUGAAACGGUGCCUUUUUAUUUUCAGUUUCCCGCUGAGUGCCCUAUUAAACAAGACACUGAUGUUUGAGAUGUAGUUUAGAAAUGCAAAUAAAGAAAAAAUGAGAGAGAAGUAAUUGACUGGAAUCUUAAUGUCCUUCUCUUCCUGUCUCUGAGUAUUUAAGCUCCCUGACUACUUCCACCCCCCCCCCCCCACACACACACACAUCUGAGAGGGCAUGAAGUUCAUGAGGAUGGCUGGUGGGUGGUCUGUAGGGGGUUGUCAAACACCUUAAACAGCUUCUUCCUGCAAUAUAGAGCCAUAAUCAUUAUGCUUCAUUCUAUGACAAACAUAUGUUUAUUUUCUGCAUAUCUAAGCAUACCUCUUGAGCUGUCUGUAUCCUCCUGAGUGGUGUAUAUAUUUUUUUUAAUAAACUGAAUAUGCUUCUCUGCUAAAAUCUUGGUCAAAGAUUGAAAGGAAUGUGAGUUUUAUUCAGUAUAUUUAUUUAUUGUGUCACGCCCUGACCUUAGAGAGCCUUUUAUUUCUCUAUUUUUGGUUAGGUCAGUGUGUGAUUAGGGUGGGCAUUCUAGGUUUUUGGUUUUCUAUGUUUUCUAUUUCUUUGUUAUUUUAGCCAUGCGUGGUUCCCAAUCAGAGGCAGCUGUCUAUCGUUGUCUCUGAUUGGGGAUCAUAUAUAAGUUGUGAUUUUGGGUUUUGUGGGGAGUUAUUUUCUGUUUAGCUGUUUUGUUGCCUGACAGAACUGUGCGCUUUCAUUUUUUUCUGCUUUGUUAUUUUGUUGCGGUGU
ensembl:lncRNA